rnacentral:rRNA from 2 species
CUGGUGUCAGCCGCCGCGGUAAUACCAGCACCUCGAGUGGUCAGGACGUUUAUUGGGCCUAAAGCAUCCGUAGCCGGCUUUGCAAGUCUUCGGUUAAAUCCACCUGCUCAACAGAUGGGCUGCUGGAGAUACUACAAAGCUAGGGAGUGGGAGAGGCAGACGGUAUUCAGUGGGUAGGGGUAAAAUCCUCUGAUCCAUUGAGGACCACCAGUGGCGAAGGCGGUCUGCCAGAACACGUUCGACGGUGAGGGAUGAAAGCUGGGGGAGCAAACCGGAUUAGAUACCCGGGUAGUCCCAGCUGUAAACGAUGCAAACUCGGUGAUGCAUUGGCUUAUUGCCAAUGCAGUGCCGCAGGGAAGCCGUUAAGUUUGCCGCCUGGGAAGUACGGACGCAAGUCUGAAACUUAAAGGAAUUGGCGGGGGAGCACCACAAGGGGUGAAGCCUGCGGUUCAAUUGGAGUCAACGCCAGGAAUCUUACCCGGGGAGACAGCAGAAUGAAGGUCAAGCUGAAGACUUUACCAGACAAGCU